GAUGAACGCUUGCGGCGUGCCUAAUCCAUGCAAGUCGAGCGAAGCGGGGACGGGUGAGUAAUACGUGGACAACCUCCUAUAAGACUGGGAUAAUUUUGGGAACCCGGAUCUAACCCGGAUACUGAUAGAUGGAGCCUCGCUUCAUUAGCGAGUUGGUAAGGCAACGGCUUACCAAGGCAACCAUGCAUAGCCGACCUGAGAGGGUGAUCGGCCACACUGGAACUGAGACACGGUCCAGACUCCUACGGGAGGCAGCAGUAGGGAAUCUUCCGAAAUGGGCGCAAGCCUGACGGAGCAACGCCGCGUGAGUGAUGAAGGUCUUCGGAUCGUAAAACUCUGUUAUUAGGGAAGCGGUACCUAAUCAGAAAGCCACGGCUAACUACGUGCCAGCAGCCGCGGUAAUUC
rnacentral:rRNA from 1 species